ACAAACUCCGUGCAGACAGCACCCGUAGUCAGGAUCGAACCCGGGUCUCUGGCGCUAUACUGCAGCAACUCUACCGCUGCGCCACAGUGCAACACAAUAAUGAUACAAUCGCAAUAACAAUUUUGCAAGGCGUUUUGGACGAAAAGCCCUAUUACACAAAUCACUGCAAAACACAAGGCUCAUUAUAUAGACGUUUCCAUUUGCAACUUUGAUUGAAUGAAUAGUGGUUUGUAUAGCAGCUUAUUGAAUUAGAUGCUCAGCCAAAUCAAAGAGCAAGUCUCUUUUGCAUUAAACACUAUUGUGAAAUCCAGUACUUUAUACAAAAUGAGAUCAAGAACACAACAUGAACAGGGCAGCUAACGAUUUAAAAACGAACAGAAAAUACUGAGAUUACCCCUCUGGUCAAAAUGAAAGACAGCUUGACCCGAAAAGUUAAUAUUCUUCACGCAGAUGCUGCCUGACAAGAUAAAGAUGUACUGUAUCUUUGUAUCCGGACAUGCCCCUGUAUAUUAGC